AGCGAACGCUGGCGGCAGGCCUAACACAUGCAAGUCGAACGAAGCCUUCGGGCUUAGUGGCGGACGGGUGAGUAACACGUGGGAACGUACCUUUUGGUUCGGAACAACUCAGGGAAACUUGAGCUAAUACCGGAUGAGCCCUUAGGGGGAAAGAUUUAUCGCCGAAAGAGCGGCCCGCGUUAGAUUAGCUAGUUGGUGAGGUAAAGGCUCACCAAGGCUACGAUCUAUAGCUGAUCUGAGAGGAUGAUCAGCACACUGGGACUGAGACACGGCCCAGACUCCUACGGGAGGCAGCAGUGGGGAAUCUUGCGCAAUGGGCGAAAGCCUGACGCAGCCAUGCCGCGUGAAUGAUGAAGGUCUUAGGAUUGUAAAAUUCUUUUACCAGGGACGAUAAUGACGGUACCUGGAGAAAAAGCCCCGGCUAACUUCGUGCCAGCCGCCGCGGUAAUAC
rnacentral:rRNA from 1 species